UUACUAAUCACCAGAGAAAUGCAAAUUAAAGCCACAAUGAGAUAUCACCUCACACCUGUCAGAAUGGCUAUCAUCAAUAUAUUAACAAACAACAAAUGCUGGUGAGAAUGUGGAAAAAAGGGAACCCUAGAACACUGCAGGUAGGAGUGCAGAUUGGUACAGCCACUGUGGAAAACAGUAUGGAAUUUC